AUAUAUACAUCUUCACUUUGAUUAUUUUUUUAACUCUUUUACAAGAGAAAUCGGCCAACUGCUAAAGUAUCAAAAAUUUUGUAUAAAAAAAAGAAAAUAACGGAGCAGAUAACCUGGAAAGGUAGAAAUCUCCCUUAUGGUGCACAGUUUCUGUGAUUCUUCUUGCUGUUCCUUUUCAUACGUGCCCUAUUUACAGCAACAAAGAACAGGAAACAAUUUGAAAGCACAAAAGUCCACUGUUUGCGGAUGAAGAUACAUGUAUUCACUUCAGGAUAAACUGCUUUGACAUUCAUGUAGAGGAUUAUUCAAAUAAAACUAUAUAACAGGCAGUUACAAUGUUAUUAAUUUCAUAUUGACCAUUUUUUAUUUCUUUAAAAUGGCCAAAUUUGGCCUGCUUUUCUGCCCCGUUCCUUCAGAUGACAUAUUUUGUGUUCAUUCAGAAAUGGGUCACUUUUUUUCUUUUUAAUGACCUGAAUUGAGCGUGCCUCAAAGGCUCUCUGGCUUAAGAGAACAGACAUCCUUCUCAGCCAGAAACCCACUGUCAGCAGAGUUGGUGAUGGUUCAGGCUUCCUUGCCCUGCCAGCACAGGACCAGUCCAAAGGGCAUACAUGACAAGGGACUUCAUUCUGGGCACUUUGAGUGAAAAUACCUGCAGAAGAAGGUACACACACACAUGUGUGCAUACACACACGCACACACUCGGAGGGGUGCUUGAUUACCAGUUCUGACUUAACUACAGUUUUUGGAAACCAGCACUGACUUUAAUUUGGACCGACAUGGUAGAUAUUUAAGGAUACAACCUCUUCUGUUCCUCCUUCACCUCUUGAAAUGUCACCUCAGGUAGACAGUAGGCACUUUUCCUACAAGCUUUAACCCCUCUUGGCAAUCUUGUGGGGAAACCAAGGUUCUGCUGCAUCCUGUGAAUGCAGCUGAGCCCUCAGAGCUGCGGUGGCAGUGGGAAGCACCUGCUGUGCAUCAGGGCUGGAGCCUGAGCUUGCUCUGAAAAAAAGGCUGUUUCCGCUCUCUGCUGGAAUCGUGUCCCCUCUCCUGGCACUACACUACCAUCUCUUUUUUCAGCCUCCCACAUCACUUUAUCACUUGUCGCCAUGUAGGGGAAAAAAAAGAUUAGGGGGCAUUUCACAUAGUCUAACAACCAAAGAAUUUCUGAACUGUGCUUUGUCAUCGUCCAAAGAACAUGUUUUGCUGCAAGUGCACUUGUUUAUACUGGAUCAGAAGUAAAUGACAAGUUCCCUUUUGAGUUUUGUGCCUGUUGAUAGGUUUAAGGUAUGCCUGAAGCUUUUGCUCUUGUGACAGUACUGAGUCCAUAGACCCACCAGAUGCUCUUAAUGUGGGAUGUUUUCAGGCUGGAAAAAUUACAUCUCUGCUGCCAAAGCUUCCUCACCCCCCCAAAUCCUCCUUGUGAAAGUAGAGGUUUUGCUGGUAUCACCAGCUUUACCAAGGGUCUUUGAAUGACAGCUCUGUCUGGCAGGGAAUUUGGCACCUUACGACUGUAGCUCUGCCAGCAAAAGUGUUUUAAGUUUCCUUCAGUGUCAGCCUGGUUCUGAAAGCUCCAUCUGUCUGCAACUUUGUCAAAUAUGGGAUUCCAGCUGUUUUAGAAAUAAACUGCAUGCACUAUUUGGAUGAUGUAACGGCUUUAAGGCUCA